rnacentral:lncRNA from 1 species
UCACCCCCACCCGCGCUCCUCCGCCCUCACAGGCUCAUCCCCUGCGCCCCGGCUAACGUCCGCCGCCUGACAGAUGCCGCCGCCGGUGCCGCCCGCCGACCGCCCAUCCACCGAGCGCCCGCCGGCUGCUGCUGCUGCCGCCGCCGCCGCCGCCGCUCCUCGCCCCCACCCCGGCAAACGCGGAAGCCGCCGCUCACAGCCUCUUCGCUGCCUUAGCCGUUGCCCGCAACGCAACGGCCUCCGGCACUUCCACGCUAACGGCGCAGGCGCGGCGCCGCAAGGGCUCUCGGGAGCGGUAGUCUUCUCGGCGGCCGAGGCCCGGCGCGCGGAAGGCAGCGGGAGCGCGCGAGGACUACAGGGACCGCGACACCAGGCGGCGGAGGGAGGGCGGGGGCGGGGCGAGCCGGGCCGGCCGCGCCGCCCCGCGGGGUUUCUGGGGAGCGUAGUCUUCUGCCGGCCGGGCCGCGGAGGAGGGGGAGCCGGGAGGGACACGCUUAGGGCGCUUCGCGAGCGCUUGGGGCGCCGCCCGCGCUGGACCGUGGGGGAAGGGCAGGGUGCUGUGUUUCAGGAGGAUUUCACCUUAGGUGAAAUUUGCUUAUACUGAAGGCAGGGUGGUUGAGAUUCUCACUGAUAUCUCGGUCUUGUGUUGUGGCUGUACAGGAGUGAGAUAGCCUGAGUAGCCACAGAAGAGUCUCUGGUGCAGAGAACUGAACUUGGAAAGAGUGCGAAUUUACAGUCGCCCAGGGGCUCCACCACCACAGCAAUGUCAUGGAGGGGCCAGGGCUGCCUCUGCAGGUUGUGGUUCAGACUGGAAUCUUUUUCCCAGGCUGUCAGCAAGCCAACCCAUCACUUGCAGGAGGACCAUGUCUUUCUCAAGCCACCUAGUUUGUGUCAAACUGCAUGUAAAGCAGGAAAAAUGGAUUCUCUCAGGUCAAAGAAAGAUUUGUAGUGGUUUUCACACAUGCAAAAAAAAGGACUAGAAGAGACUGCCAGUUGUUCAGCCUCCCCAACUGAUAAAAGCUGCUGUUUAUGACUGUCCUUUUGUUUUUCUUCCUGCUAGCUCUGUGUUCUUUUUAAGUGUCAGGAAAACUCUUGAAUGAAUUGUAUAUUAUUGUUAGAUAACUGAGGUGGGUUUCAAUUAAAAUGGAUUCUUUUUACAAUUUUUAAUUUCAGACAAGGAAUAAACAAUACAAGAGUACCUUGUUAGAGCUUUGGAAUUCGAAAUCCUGGCGCUGGUAUGGGAUGAGCACCAACAAAACUAGGUACUUUAUCCAGUGUUUUAGAAGUACAAGAAUGUUGUGAUGAUACAUCAGGUUAUAGGCUACUCUGGGGUCGAACAGGUCUUUCCUUUUGGGAGAGGGGGAAAGAACAUUUUUUGUUCUGUUUCUGGCUUUGUCCUGAUACAGGAGAAAACCUUCCAAGACUUUUUCCUCACUGAGGUUCUUUGGGAGAGAAGGGAAAGGAGAGUGGAUACAUCUAUUAUUCAGUCUUGCCUCUACCAAUUUAAUCCAAUGCAGAAAUAGUGUUCUAAUACUGAAAGAUUAAUUCCUGAAAAUCUAGGCCUUACAGGAAAGGUUUAGUUGUGUUAAUCAAACACUUUCUCCCAAGUAUAUAACAUGGCAAGAAUCCCUCUUGUCACUUUUUGGCGUUGCUUCUGCAUAACAGGGGUGAAUCUCUUGAAUGGGUCAAGCUGCAUAACCUUUUUGUCUGGAGAUUUGCCUUUUGGAAGUUGUACUGAAAAUAGUUCUCUGUGUGACUGUAUUCUAAACAAUUACACAUGGAAGAUGGAUCAAGGACACCCGCAUGGACAUAGUGUUAAAUGUAUGCAAGACUUAUGAGAAACAGAAGGUUACAAAGAUCAUAGAAUAGUUUGGGUUGGAAGGGACCUUUAAAUAGGUCAUGUAGUCCAACCCCCCCCUGCAAUAAGCAGGGACAUCUUCAACUAGAUCAGGUUGCUCAGAGCCCCAUCCAACCUGCCCUUGAACCUGCCCUUCAGGGAUUGGGCAUCUACACCCUCUCUGGGCAACCUGUUCCAGUGUUUCACCAUCCUCAUCAUAAAAAAAUCUCUUCCUUAUACGUAGUCUGAAUCUAGACUCUUUUAGUUUAAAACCAUUGCUCCUUGUCCUAUUGCAACAGGUCCUGCUAAAAAGUUUGUCCCCAUCUUUCUUAUAAGCCCCCUUUAGGUAUUGAAAGGCCACAAUGACGUCUCCCCAGAGCCUUCUCUUCUUCAAGCUGAACAACCCCAACUCUCUCAGCCUGUCCUCAUAGGAGAGGUGCUCCAGCCCUCUGAUCAUUUUUGUGGCCCUGUUCUGGACCCACUCCAACAGGUCCACGUCUUUCCUUUGAUGGGCACCCUCGACCUGCUGGUCACACUUCUUUUGAUGCAGCUUGGGAUACAGUUGGCUUUCUGGGCUGUGAGUGCACAUUGCCAGCUCAUGUCCAGUUUUUCAUCCACCAGUACCCCCAAGUCCUUCUCUGCAGGGCUGCUCUCAAUCCCUUCAUCCCUCAGCCUGUACUGAUACCAGGGGUUGCCUCGACCUGGGUGCAGGACCUUGCACUUGACCUUGUUGAACCUCAUGAUGUUCACAUGGGCCCANNNACCUGCAAACCUGCUGAGGGUGCACUCGAUCCCACUAUGUCAUUGUUGAAGAUAUUAAACAGUACUCAUCCCAAUACAGACCCCUGAGGGACACCACUUGUCACUGAUCUCCAUCUGGACAUUGAGCCAUUGACCACUACCCUCUGGAUGCGACCAUCCAAGCAAUUCCUCAUCCACCGAACAAUCCGCCCAUCAAAUCCAUCUCUCUCCAAUUUAGAGAGAAGGUUAUUGUGGGAGACCGUGUCAAAGGCCUUACAGAAGUCCAGAAAGAUGACAUCCAUAGCUCUUCCCUUGACCAGUGAUGUAGUCACUCCAUCAUAGGAGGCCACUAGGUUCGUCAGGUGGGAUUGCCCUUGGUGAAGCCAUGCUGGCUGUCUCGAAUCACCUCCCUGUCCUCCACAUGCCUUAGCGUAGCUUCUAGGAGGAUCUGUUCAGGCACAGAAGUGAAGCUGACAGGUCGGUAGUUCCCAUGAUGUUUAAAUGUACGUCAGCUUUCUAUGAUAAAUGAUCUAAAAAAAUCUGGCAAUUUUCCAAGUUCAUAUUGUGGACCAUCAGCGCAGUUUUAAAGAAGCUGUCAGUCAGAAAGAGAAAUGUUCAACACAACAGUAAUUGUUGCAGCAGCUCCAGUGGUGGAAGCCGUAGAAGGCUAAAGGAAAGAGUGAGACCAGAAGUGAAUUAUAGGUGCUGCUUAUUCCUUCCUUUCCUCAAAGAUGUGGCUUUUAGCUGUACCUUUUUGUCUCACUCCUUUGCUUAAUUAGAAGUGGGGAAGGAAGGAACUACGCAAACUGUACUGAAGGGCCACUAAUGUAGCAAUCAUUCUUUUAAGAUAUACUAGGACAUCAGAUUAACUAUGCCAGACCAUCAGAUCGAGCUCUUUGUCUAGGAUUCACUUUUGCCCACUCUGUAGUCUCUGUUUUCUUUCUUGCAUCUCAGGAUACAAGAGCUGUUUCCUUUCUCAGUAGUCUCUCGCCUUUCUCUUUUUGCCACUCAAAAAUUUCACCCGUGCCCCGUCUGUGCUUGGAACAACCUCCCUCGUCUCACAUUCUGUCUCUAGGGCCUUCCUGAAAUUCUCCUUUUUUUGGUGAAGCCUCCAAGCUGGUACCAUCUUCUUAGGCGUGCCACGGGUGAACCUCAUCUGGCCGUACUCGGAACCACGAGUCUGAUACACAGAAGUGUUUUGAGGCAGGAUUGUGCAAAUUAAAGGUGGGGUGGGCUUUUCUGUGCUGCAUCUUGUGGAGAAGAAAGCGUGGCAGGAAGCACGGAAGAAGCCGCCAGAAGACAACAAAUGUUCCUUGAGACAAACCGAUAACUCUGUUUUUACCACAUCCUGCUGUGAGAAAUGAGCGCUGAAAGUGACGACUGAAGAAAAAAGGCAAAAUAAUACCUAGAAGAGAGAAGGGGGAGGACGCUUCUGCACCCCGUCUCCAACGUCUCUUUCCUCCUUCCAGCCCGAUUAAUUCAUUUUUGCUGGCCAGAUGAACGAAACGCUGGCAUCGAAAAUCCAUCUUCGCUGCCCGUGCCAGGGCCCGACGGCUUUGCCGUUGACGGAGUGCCCCAGCAUUACGCAGGCGAGGCGCACCAGUCCCCGCGAAGGGCUCAGCACCGCAGGCGCCGCUGCAGGGCACCGUCACCCGCACCCCGCACCCCGAAACCGGCUCCCGCGGCGGAGCGCGCCCUGCCCGCUUGGUGCCGGGCGUGGGGAAGACCCCGUCGCCCUGGAUUAUCCGGGCGGUUUAACUGGAGGCCGGAGGAGCCCGGUAAUCCGGCCUUGAAUCCCACAUCCCAGUGCGGGCCGGCCGCCGCAGGCUCUGCAAGGCAGCAGGCGCAGCUCUGCCCGCGCCUGUCCCUCGGGCGGCUGCAGCCUGCGGGCCCUCCGCGGCAGCGGGCCGGGGCCGGGGCAGGCCGCUGGCGGCCGGGGCCGGGGCCGGGGCCGGGGCCGGGGCCGGNNNNNNNNNNNNNNNNNNNNNNNNNNNNNNNNNNNNNNNNNNNNNNNNNNNNNNNNNNNNNNNNNNNNNNNNGGGAGGGAGGGAGGGAGGGGAGGUGAGGCGGGGGGCGGGAGCCCGUCCGCCGGCGGCUGCGGCAGGAGGAGGGCGGCUGACGCGGCGGGGGAGGCAGCGCGCGCCCCGCCGGGAAGGAGGAAGAGGCCAGCGCCGGCGGGCGGGCGGACGGACGGACGGACGGACACCCCGACACCCCCCCGGCCCGCCCGGCGGCAGGCAGGUACGCGGGGUGCAGCGGUGCAGAUGCCGGUGGCCGCUGGCGGGCGGCAGGGGGCCGGGCGUUUUACAGAGGGGCCGUUCGGGGCCACGGAGGUCCAGCGGCAAGGGGGGGCGGGGGGGGGGGGGGGGGCGGCCGUG